ensembl:lncRNA
GCUGGUCUCACACACUCAGGGCCUCGCACAGGCUGGUCUCACACAGGCUGGUCUCACACAGGCUGGUCUCACACAGGCUGGGCCUCACACAGGCUGGUCUCACACAGGCUGGUCUCACACAGGCCCCUCUGUCUGUCCCCUGUGCUCCUGCUUCUCUCUCUCCGUCACCGUUUCCUUCACGGCCCGCUCUCGGCCUGCUCAGAGAGCCAGCGUGGAAAAUCUCCCUCAUCAGAUUACAGUAUAUGUGGAGCACACACAGUCUGACCGGCACACUUAAUCAGAACAGUUUGGGAAUCAACGUAAAGCUAGCUUAUUUUUCUAACAUAGUGUGUGUUGUAAAUGGAGAGAAAUCAAAUGUUCUGAUUGAUACGACUGCAAUUUCUUCCUCUGUAGAUUUUUUUUUAGAUCUAAGCACAUUACGUUAUCCGAGAUAAAAGCUGACACAUUUAGUUGUUUGUAUAGUCGUUUGGUGUGCCCCAGACGGCAGACUAGGCCUGCAUUUGAAGUUUAAUUGCUGGAUCCGGGAGCGCGACUCCAAAGUGAUCAUUGGCUCCAGCAAGCGAAACACACCCAAAAAGCACAGCGCGUGGCCCCGGCUGAUAUCAAGAUCAAGCUAAUACCAGA